rnacentral:rRNA from 1 species
UACAGAGGUCUCGAGCGUUGUUCGGAUUCAUUGGGCGUAAAGGGUGCGUAGGUGGCGCGAUAAGUCGGGUGUGAAAUCUCGGAGCUUAACUCCGAAAUUGCAUUCGAUACUGCCGUGCUCGAGGACUGGAGAGGAGACUGGAAUUCAUGGUGUAGCAGUGAAAUGCGUAGAGAUCAUGAGGAAGACCAGUGGCGAAGGCGGGGUCUCUGGACAGUUCCUGACACUGAGGCACGAAGGCCAGGGGAGCAAACGGG